rnacentral:rRNA from 1 species
UCUUGACCUCGGAUCAGGUAGGGAUACCCGCUGAACUUAAGCAUAUCAAUAAGCGGAGGAAAAGAAACCAACAGGGAUUGCCCUAGUAACGGCGAGUGAAGCGGCAUCAGCUCAAAUUUGAAAUCUGGCUCUUUUAGGGUCCGAGUUGUAAUUUGCAGAGGGCGCUUUGGCGUUGGCAGCGGUCCAAGUUCCUUGGAACAGGACGUCACAGAGGGUGAGAAUCCCGUACGUGGUCGCUGGCCUUCGCCGUGUAAAGCCCCUUCGACGAGUCGAGUUGUUUGGGAAUGCAGCUCUAAAUGGGAGGUAAAUUUCUUCUAAAGCUAAAUACUGGCCAGAGACCGAUAGCGCACAAGUAGAGUGAUCGAAAGAUGAAAAGCACUUUGGAAAGAGAGUCAAAUAGCACGUGAAAUUGUUGAAAGGGAAGCGCUUGCAGCCAGACUUGCCUGUAGUUGCUCAUCCGGGCUUUUGCCCGGUGCACUCUUCUGCGGGCAGGCCAGCAUCAGUCUGGGCGGUUGGAUAAAGGCCUCUGUCAUGUACCUCCUUUCGGGGAGGCCUUAUAGGGGAGGCGUCAUGCAACCAGCCUGGACUGAGGUCCGCGCAUCUGCUAGGAUGCUGGCGUAAUGGCUGUAAGCGGCCCGUCUUGAAACACGGACCAAGGAGUCUAACAUCUAUGCGAGUGUUUGGGUGUCAAGCCCGAACGCGUAAUGAAAGUGAACGGAGGUGGGAUCCCUUUAGGGUGCACCAUCGACCGAUCCUGAUGUCUUCGGAUGGAUUUGA